AAAGGGAAGGAGCUCAUUGGUGUCUCCACGGGGGGACUGAGGGACUUGGUGACAAGAAUAGGGCAGGUAACUUCCUUUUCUUUUCCAGAUUAUUACACCUUUCAGACGGGGAGCUUUGUGACUGAAGAAUAUGGCCAGAACUACAGCUCUGGAGAAAGCGAGUUCUUCUAAAUGGAAACGUGCGGAAAAUGAAUUGAUUGCUUCAUGAGCUGCUAACCCCACUCUUCUUGCAGCAUUUUCUAAGACGAUUCUGAACUGCAGAACAAGCCUAGCAGUGACAGAGGGGAGAUGGCACAAGUGUGGGAUUCUGGCAACUCUGAGGUGUGCCCUGUUGAGAGGAAGCAGCAAAACACUGAUCCUGGGUGGGCGGUGGGAUUCUGUGGGCAUGGGGAAGGAGCGUUUUGUAGUUGUGUACCAUCUAAUGUGGGUUCAAUAAAUGUUAAUUUGAGUUUGAGA